rnacentral:misc_RNA from 1 species
GUUGGCUUCAGAGCAUGGUUUGAGUCUUGAGACUAGAACUGGACACUUUAAGCAAAUAUGCAAAAGAUUUUGAUGGCAUUCAGGAUGACCCAUGAUUCUGUCAAAUUAUUGGAAUUUGUAUGAGGCCUUAAAUCACUUGGUAUAUGAGAUAGCUUGCAAGUAGGGGUACGUAAUCAUUUGGUUCGGUUCCGAACCGAACUGAAAUAAUAAAAAAACUGAAGCACUAAAUAAUAAUAACUGAACCAAACUGUAGUAGGGGUUGAGCCUAACCAAACCGAAAAUUUUUAGUUUGGUUUAUCAGUAUGGACCUAUUUGUUGGGCUUUUUUAUUUUUUAUAUUUUUAUUUUA